rnacentral:rRNA from 1 species
GCAGGCGAGAAUCCUCCACAAUGUGGGCAACCACGAUGGGGGAACUCCAAGUGCCUAGACUUAUGUCUAGGCUGUUCUCGAGCCUAAAAAGCUCGAGAAGUAAGGGCCGGGUAAGACGGGUGCCAGCCGCCGCGGUAAUACCCGCGGCCCGAGUGGUGCUCAUUAUUAUUGAGCCUAAAGCGUCCGUAGCUGGCCAGGCAAAUCUCCGGGUAAAUCGGGCGGCCCAACCGUCCGAAUUCCGGAGACACUGCUUGGCUUGGGAUCGGGAGAGGGUGAAGGUACUCCCGGGGUAGGGGUAAAAUCCUGUAAUCCUGGGGGGACCACCAGUGGCGAAGGCGUUCACCUAGAACGAAUCCGACAGUGAGGGACGAAGCCCUAGGGCGCAAACGGGAUUAGAUACCCCCGUAGUCC